AGUGAACGCUGGCGGUAGGCCUAACACAUGCAAGUCGAACGGCAGCACAGUAAGAGCUCGCUCUUACGGGUGGCGAGUGGCGGACGGGUGAGGAAUACAUCGGAAUCUACUUUUUCGUGGGGGAUAACGUAGGGAAACUUACGCUAAUACCGCAUACGACCUACGGGUGAAAGCAGGGGAUCUUCGGACCUUGCGCGAUUGAAUGAGCCGAUGUCGGAUUAGCUAGUUGGCGGGGUAAAGGCCCACCAAGGCGACGAUCCGUAGCUGGUCUGAGAGGAUGAUCAGCCACACUGGAACUGAGACACGGUCCAGACUCCUACGGGAGGCAGCAGUGGGGAAUAUUGGACAAUGGGCGCAAGCCUGAUCCAGCCAUACCGCGUGGGUGAAGAAGGCCUUCGGGUUGUAAAGCCCUUUUGUUGGGAAAGAAAAGCAGCAGGUUAAUACCCCGCUGUUCUGACGGUGCCCAAAGAAUAAGCACCGGCUAACUUCGUG
rnacentral:rRNA from 1 species